UAGUAGGUCUUUUCUUACGUGCUAAAUAAAUAGUUGAAGGCUAAUUAGCAGGAUAACAGUACAUAGUAAUGCUACCAGUUUCCUUCACAUGAAA
rnacentral:snoRNA from 1 species